GUGUGGGCGCCGGAAGACGGGUAUUGUUGAUGUCAAUAUAUAUAGUGAAUAACUUCCACAUU
rnacentral:tRNA from 1 species